rnacentral:lncRNA from 1 species
CAGCUCCCAGGAUCUCACCUCCUGCUCCGGGGACACAACAGUGAAGUCAAGCUGAGGUCAGCUGAUCCCUGUGCUUCUGCUAGACCAGGCUGGAGCUGAGAGCUCGGUGGGGAGCUGAACACUGGAGACUGGAGCCCGGGAAGGGAGUCAACAGGACCGGAGCAGAGUCUGGAGGGAGGCAGCCAGCCGUCCCCGAUCCCGUCACAUGCGCGAUCCCCCCUCUCUUCCCACGUUUCGCUCCCCUCCACCUGCGGCGGCCUGUGAGCGGGGCCGAGCUCUGUCUGAUGUCACCGGUCUGGAAUGAGAGACAGGAGGGGUGGGUGUGGGUGUGUGUGUGUGUGUGUGUGGGUGUGUGUGUGUGGGUGUGGGUGGGUGUGUGUGUGUCCCAGCCCCGUCCCGCCUCCUUCCCUUUAUAGACUCACUAUAAAGCCCCGAGCUUCCUGGAGCAGCAGACUGAGCCAAACAGCCCUGCUGCUCGAACGCCUGACUGAGCACAGAGCCUGCUGAUUUCAGGACGCGGGAGCCAGGGGUGAAGACAGGGGGGGGGGUGGGUCCUGAGUCCACCUGCCCACCCUCCAGCAUGCCUCUGCAUCAAGACCCCCUCCCAGGGUCUGUGCAGCACACAGCACACAGCACACAGCACACAGCGGCUUCUUCUUCUGCGGCGCAGUAAGCUGGGAGCUCAGGCACGGCAGUCUGACCCACAGCCACUGUGAAGGUAGGAGGAUAGAGGAGCAUGAGCAUGUCUUCAGGGGAGAAUGCGAAGUCAUGGGCUGGCAAGGAGUCUGGCACAGAGCUGGGCAGUCUGACUGAGUCUUUAAACAGCCUCGCAGCCGGCCUCUGGAGGAAGGAGUCAGAGCCAGGAUCAAGGACCAGAUCUGGCACGAGGACGUUGUGGAAGUCGUCUUCCAUGGAGUACCCCCUUAAUUUCUGCACUGGCACUGGAAUCGGUGGAUAGGUGCUUCUGGAGUCAAGGCCAGCUGCACAACUGUACCAGGUUAUUUUUCUAUUUGCUUCACUGUAACAGUCUUUGUCCACUAAUCCCACACACCCCACCCAUAUGUUUUUGGUAGCCUUUUUAUCCUUAGAGGGCUGUGGACUGCUGGACUUUGAGCCAAUAGCACAGGUCCCAAGGAGGGAUAGACACUGUGCAGCAUGCCAGU